UAACGGCGAGUGAAGCGGGAUGAGCCCAUCACCGAAUCCCCUAGCAUCUCGCUAGCGGGAGCUGUGGUGUUUGAGACGUCACCUGUCGUCCGUACCGGUCGCCGAAGUCCUCCUGAUCGGGGCCUUUCCCAGAGUGGGUGUCAGGCCUUUGCUGGCGACUGGUCGGUCGGCUGCGAGCGUCCUAAGAGUCGGGUUGUUUGGGAAUGCAGCCCAAAGUAGGUGGUAAACUCCAUCUAAGGCUAAAUACUGGCACGAGUCCGAUAGCGGACAAGUACCGUGAGGGAAAGUUGAAAAGAACUUUGAAGAGAGAGUUCAACAGUACGUGAAACCGCCUAGAGGUAAACGGAUGGAUCCGCAAAGUCGGCCCGCGGAAUUCAGCUCGGAAGGCAGUCGCGCGGCGGGAGGCAGGAGAUCUGAUCGGACUCUCUUCCUGUCGCGACGGCAGCCGGCCGUGUGCACUUUCCGCGGGCAGAGCGCCACGACCGGUUCUCGAGCGGUCAGAAGGCGGCGAGCAAGGUAGGUGCGCGCUUCGGCGUUCACUGUUAUAGGCUCGCCUGUCCCGAUCCGCUUGGGGACCGAGGAGCCGCCGUCUGCGGCAAGGCCGCCUCGCUCUCUCGGGAUGUUCGACUGGCAGGGACUGGGCAACCCCCGUGUCUGCCGACCGCUUCCUGAGAUGGUCGGGGUGGGCCCGCAGGCAAAGGGUCAGUGGCACAUCGGUCGGUCCUCCAUCCGACCCGUCUUGAAACACGGACCAAGGAGUCUAACAUGCGCGCGAGUCGUUGGGCUGUACGAAACCCGAAGGCGAAGUGAAAGCGAGGGCCGUCUUUGACUGUGCUCAGGUGGGAUCCCGGCCCUCUCGUGGGCUGGGCGCACCACCGGCCCGCCUCGUCCGCGCUGUCGGUGAGGCGGAGCAAGAGCGUGCACGUUGGGACCCGAAAGAUGGUGAACUAUGCCUGAGUAGGACGAAGCCAGAGGAAACUCUGGUGGAGGUCCGUAGCGAUUCUGACGUGCAAAUCGAUCGUCAAACUUGGGUAUAGGGGCGAAAGAC
rnacentral:rRNA from 1 species